UGCGGCCAAUGAUGAGUAAUGAUUUGCCUACAUUGUCAGAUUGUCUAAUUCAUGACUGAGACAUAUAUCUCUGAGGCCUUA
rfam:Ricinus communis cultivar Hale ctg_1100012350114, whole genome shotgun sequence.